CCAACUCCAGCUGCCGGUAGUCCUCGCUGGUGAUGUUGUACUUUCCUUUGAGCCGGAUCUCCUCGGCUUUGAGUUUCUCCUCCUCCCGCAUCUCGUUGUCGGACUCGAGCGCGUCGAAGACGGCGGCCCCGACCAGCAGAGCUCAGUGCAUGGCGGAAAGGGUGAGUUCGCUUCUCAGUACACAAGCCAAAGGUCUCUUCCAGAACUGCUGUGAAGGAUUUGGAAGAUGUUUCACUCAAACACAGAAUUUAUAUAUAGGCACAAAGCUUUCAUUAAACAUGAGCAGCUAAGGGGACAGCAUCACUCACUGACAGUAAUGUAUGCCAGUCUUGUAGGCACACUGCAAGAGAAACAGGCUGCCUCGGAGAAAUUAAUACGGCAAAGGUGUUGAUUAUUGAUCAUUUGUUGCAGAAUUGACUCCGUUUCCUGAGCCAAUGUGACUUCCCGAGCUAUUUGUAGCUUCCUGAAUGCUCGCAGUGUGACUGGCACUUUUGCAUUUGCUGCAGCUGACGCCUCAAUAUAGUAUUUGAUGCAUACUUUAGAUGACUGCCUUGCAUACUGAAACUGCCGCGGAACAAGAACGACUCUUUGAGGACAGCCCUGGAAAAUAGGAAAAAAAAAAAAAAAAAAAGAUCCCUGUACUGGUAUGGGCUUGUCCAUCACCACCAGUGACACCUGACCUGCAAAGAGCUGGAGUGCUAGGAGAGACAGCAGCCUUCCCGUGGCAAUGGCUACUAUAAUUUGAUGCAGCAACUUCUGAAUGAACUUGUGGAAGUGAGCACUGCAUUAAAGUCACAGCUGAAGGAGAUGUAAAUUGCUUUGGGGGCUUCCUGGCUGGUGAAAUAAGCUGCAACUAUUACUGUACCACUGCAAAAGGAAAAUUGGGACUCAUUAUCAGAAAUAGUUGUUGUGGAAUAGUCUUCUCCAGAAGAAAAUACCCAAUACUGCCUAAAAUGUUUAAAAUAAGGGUGAAUAAAAUGCUGAUUUACCUUA